UUCCUGCCCUGGUUGGUGUGGCUCAGUGGUUGAGCAUUCACCCAUGAACCUGGAGUUCAUGGUUCAAUUCCUGGUCAGGGCACAUUCCCGGAUAUGCAGGCUCAAUC